rnacentral:lncRNA from 1 species
AUUUAUUAUUAUGUUUUUUCAGACACUUUGGCUUGUGCUUGUUGCAAUCUAAGAUCAAGGGUGCUUGGUAUUUUAGAAAUAUCGAUCUGUUCACAUGGGUAUCUGACAGAUGGUAUUUCAUUACUCCGAUCCUUUGAACCUGGAUCAGUUAUUGUGGUUGCCAUAAUAAUACAUCAAGUUAGCCUGCACGAAAAUCUCAUCAGUUGAGCUGCCUGGGGGUUCCUCUCAGUUAACUGGUAGCUUAUCCCUGCUACUGCAUCUUUAUGGCGUCUAAAGAGUAAAGACUGAAAAGCAACAACAAAUGAAGGGAUACAUAACACAAAACCAGUCCAAUACAGAGACACUGUUGCAUUCCAGUAAGUCUCUAAAUACCAAGUUCAUUCAAAUAAAUUUGCACUAGCGUAAAUUUAUUCUGGGUUUAAAGGGUAGAGAAUCAAGCAGUUACUUUCAAGUUUAAUGUGUUAGCACUUUGUUUAGAUUAAUAGGAGACACGUAUAUAACGAGAAUUGAGUGGUUGUUACUAGUUAAAUCUUAACGAAGGGAAUAGAGAGAGGGAAAAUGAGUUCAUAGCCCCACUUAUGGCUCAGGUUUCUUUUUGUUUAUUCAUGUUUCUUCCGUUCCAAAACCAGUAUGGUUGUGUGGAAAGACUUUCAGGUUACUUAUUACGAUCAGUCCAUUUUUCUCUGACUGCUACAAAUGUUUAUGAAGACCUGAAUUCAGGUUGAAGCUUGCUUCACCAGAGAGCAGUGAUCUGUUAAUUAACUCUCCCUCUUGUCUAACUCUAACCUUGUUCCUUUUCCAGCUACCAUAGAAUUUAUCACUCUAUAAUACAGUGGUCUGCAAAACCAGACAAUAGAUACUUAUGCAGGCAUAAAACACCAAUAGCUAGAGUACUAGAUUUAUCAAGAGAAAGGAAAACCAGCAGAUAGAUUAUAUUAACACAUGUUCUCCAAUUGGUGAAUCUUUAAGUU